UAGCUAUGUCUAGAAACAUCCAUCUUCUUCGUUAUUGUACCAUUCUUCAUCCUAUAUCAGUACGAGUCUCAUUGUAGGUUAAAGGAAAUUUUCGGUAACUGGUAAUAUAAAUUGUAAAUAAAUUACCAUAAAGAGAAACAGGAGACUGAAGAGGGAAUUUCAGCAGAGACAGACAUGAAUAUGGCUUUUGAUGGUGAUAUAGUCGCAGUUGAGCUUUUGCCUCAAGAACAGUGGCACGAGGAUAAGUCUUUGGAAUUAGUUGAUGAAGGUUUGUCCACAUUGUUUUUUUACUUUAAUGAACAUGAUUUUCUUUUAUAUUGCAAAAUUGAUCUACUUUUCUUUCGAACUAGGCGAAAUGGCCUGGAUUUGUCCUCUAUUAACAAUUGGAUCAUCAUGAUAUGGACUUGUUGACUAACUUAAAACGAUUAAAGAUUUAUUAGUAUCUCAUCAGACUAAUUAGCACUAUCAUUUGUCAUACGUGGCUUAAAUUCACCCCUUCUACCUCCCCUUAACUCUCUACCCGACCUCCAUGCAACCUAUCAAUCCUUCUCCAUCUACUAUCGUUAUUGUUGGCCAUGGUUAUGGUCAAGGGAAACAAUAACGUCAAUAUAUGCAUCUUAAAUUUAGAAUGUAUCUCUUAAUUUUGUUUUGCUAAUUUUUCUCUCCCUUUCUUAUUCUGCUUCUAAGGUUAAUGUUUUGUAAAUUUUUUCAUCAUGUGGUGACAACUAAUAUAUCCUUAUCUAAAGUUGGAUACAAAAUAUUACGAUUUAGGAAUAUUGAACUGUGAUGCCACUGACGACCAAGUUAUUGUUGAAAGUGAUGAGAGAACUCUGAAGUAAGUUAGAUUAAUUGUUCUUCUUACUUAUUUUCAUCCGUUUCGCACUUAGAGAUUCAUUGUUUUAGGUGAUUGUUGGUUUUUUCUCCUUCAGAAUUGAUGUAAAUUUAUAGUUUCUUAAAAUGAUCAGUUGAAGUUGAUUAAUGUAUUAGUUUGAGAAAUUAGCUUUCUUUGUGUUGUUGCAAAUUCUUUUGUAUUUCACACCAAAGUUAGCAUGUAAGAAAUGAUGGAAUGCAUGUACUCACCUCAGUUGAUAAAUUGGACAACACCUUAGUUGAAUUUUGAA